CAUAUUAUACAUAUUACAUAUGUAUCACUUCCAUCUGCAUGAAGCUUAAGCAAUAUCGUAACGUUCUAAGUUCUCUAAAUCUGUGCUUAUGAAACAAUUAAGGUGGAAAAAAGCUACAGCCUGAUGUCAGUGUGAUGGACGAUGCUGCUCGUGCGGAACAAGUGAAUAUCCCAGCGGUACGGAGACGGCAUCUUUGUUCCACAGCCGCCACGCAGGGCGUGCGUGUAUUUCCCCCCAGAAACUGGCAAUGGCAGUAAGACAGGACUCGUGCUGAUUCGGUAUUACACAAACUUCAUCCCGAUACAGCUGGGAAACGGUUUGCAAACACCUGAUGCUCUGUGCGACUGGGAUUUCAGAUAUUGUGAAUGCUUUGCCAGCGGUGACUUUUGCAACAACUGCAAUUGCAAUAAUUGUUACAACAAUCCACUUCACGAAACUGAGCGAUUUAAAGCCAUUAAGGUAAAAUAUAUAUGUGUAUAUAUAUAAUACUAUAUAUAUCAGUAUGAGCUUUGUAUAUGUAAAAUACACUUGUAUUGUUUUUCUCUACUUAAAGUCUUUGAAAUAUACUAUUUUUAUACAAAAUA